UACGGGGGGAGCAAGCGUUGUUCGGAUUUACUGGGCGUAAAGGGCGCGUAGGCGGCCACCGCAAGUCGACUGUGAAAUCUCCGGGCUUAACUCGGAAAGGUCAGCCGAUACUGCGGGGCUAGAGUGCAGAAGGGGCAACUGGAAUUCUCGGUGUAGCGGUGAAAUGUGUAGAGAUCGGGAGGAACACCGGUGGCGAAGGCGGGUCUCUGGGCAUCUCCUGACGCUGAGGCGCGAAAGCGUGGGGAGCAAACGGG
rnacentral:rRNA from 1 species